rnacentral:rRNA from 1 species
GACAGCAGUAGCCGCGGGAAUACAGAGGGUGCGAGCGUUAAUCGGAUUUACUGGGCGUAAAGCGUGCGUAGGCGGCUUCUUAAGUCGGAUGUGAAAUCCCUGAGCUUAACUUAGGAAUUGCAUUCGAUACUGGGAAGCUAGAGUAUGGGAGAGGAUGGUAGAAUUCCAGGUGUAGCGGUGAAAUGCGUAGAGAUCUGGAGGAAUACCGAUGGCGAAGGCAGCCAUCUGGCCUAAUACUGACGCUGAGGUACGAAAGCAUGGGGAGCAAACAGGAUUAGAUACCCGCGUAGUCCCUGUCUCUUAUAC